AAGAAGACAGACACCUCGUAUUGAUAUGCUUAUGUUCAGUCUAUUUUUCUGGAAAGAUGUGCUUCUUAGUGGGAUUUGCAAAUAUUAUGGAGAAGUCAUAAAAUGAAGAAAGAGGAAUUUUACUUGGGUAGCGGAUCAAUAGUUGGUGCGGCAAAACUUCCACCUCCAAGGGUGUUGUGGCUAAUUGGGCAGCUGUACAAAGACUGGAUAAAGGAAAAUGAAAAUGACGUCCAAAGUGAAGUUUUACGUUCACUUUAUAAUUACUUUAUGAGUUGAUGCCUGGAAAUCUGAAGAAGGAAAGGUGUGCUUCUUAGUGUGAUUUGCAAAUGUUAUGGAGAAGUAAUAAAAUGCAGAAAGAGGAAUUUCACUUGGGUAGCGGCAUCAAUAGUUGGUGCAGCAAAGCUUCCAUCUGUGACAGGAGAGGAGAACUAUUGAGCUUCGCCAAGGUAUCAUAAAUCAUAUUAUAGUUAAGGCUAAAUUUCAGUAUGAUCGGUGUAUCGGACAUAUGAGAAGUCUCACUUGGGGUUUGAAAUCAUGUAAAUCGACCCUUGUGUGAUCUCCAUUGUUGCCUCCAUUUUCUUGAAAUGGUUAUGCCUAGGUGCUUAUCUGUAAUAGAAGCCCUUCCAUUCACCUUAAGUUACACUAGAUGACUCUUUUAGGUUUAAAGAUUGACAAGAAGUGCUAAGGGAGACAUCUCAAA